rnacentral:rRNA from 1 species
AACCCGACUCCAUGAAGCUGGAUUCGCUAGUAAUCGCGCAUCAGCCACGGCGCGGUGAAUACGUUCCCGGGCCUUGUACACACCGCCCGUCACACCAUGGGAGUUUGUAACGCCCAAAGUCGGUGGCCUAACCUUUAUGGAGGGAGCCGCCUAAGGCGGGACAGAUGACUGGGGUGAAGUCGUAACAAGGUAUC